AGAACGAGUAGUACUAGCAAAUGCCAAUAGUGAUAUUCUAUCGCUGUUCUUCAAACCUUUUCAGAGCACAGUCUGGAAGGAAAACAGUUUCCCAUAAUGCAAUGGGCUUCACUUGAAAAUGCUGCAUAUUUAUGAGAUGAUAAAUGGCUACCUUCCAUCGAAUGAAACGUGAAACAUUAUGAUGACAUGUGACAUCAUGACAUUCUGUAGAGUUUCUCUCGUCAGAUGAAGCAGCUAAACAAGGUCUUCUGGAUUCUUUGAGAAUUACAGACAGGUGUGAUGUACCUGAACCCUACAGGACAGCGGCCCACGGGACAGGAACUCACGUCAUACUGUUCACAUACUGGUCACAGGUCACCGUGGGGUCAAAGGGUAGACAGGUCACAGCAGAUGACCAUUCAAAGCAGGGCAGCUCGACACCGUGACGACAGUUCGGACAGAGAACGGCAC